rnacentral:rRNA from 1 species
UACGUAGGGGGCAAGCGUUGUCCGGAAUCAUUGGGCGUAAAGAGCGUGUAGGCGGCUCGGUAAGUCCGCUGUGAAAGUCCAGGGCUCAACCCUGGAAUGCCGGUGGAAACUGUCGAGCUAGAGUCCGGAAGAGGCGAGUGGAAUCCUGGUGUAGCGGUGAAAUGCGCAGAUAUCAGGAGGAACACCAAUGGCGAAGGCAGCUCGCUGGGACGGUACUGACGCUGAGACGCGAAAGCGUGGGGAGCAAACAGG